AUGGAUGUGUCAGAUAGGCAGCGCAUCUCUAGCUGGCUGUUACAAUUUCACUUUAACAGUUGCUAGUUGCACUCUCCUCUGUCUCACUCAUA
rnacentral:pre_miRNA from 1 species